AAGACCGUGCACUUUUGGAGCGGCCGAUGUCUGAUUAGCCAGUUGGUGGGGUAAUGGCCUACCAAAGCUUCGAUCAGUAGCUGGUCUGAGAGGACGGCCAGCCACACUGGGACUGAGGCACGGCCCAGACUCCUACGGGAGGCAGCAGUGGGGAAUUUUGGACAAUGGGCGCAAGCCUGAUCCAGCCAUGCCGCGUGAGUGAAGAAGGCCUUCGGGUUGUAAAGCUCUUUCAACCGGGAAGAAAAGGUUGCGACUAAUAAUCGCAAUUCAUGACGGUACCGAAAGAAGAAGCACCGGCUAACUACGUGCCAGCAGCCGCGGUAAUACGUAGGGUGCGAGCGUUAAUCGGAAUUACUGGGCGUAAAGGGUGCGCAGGCGGUUUUGUAAGUCAGAUGUGAAAUCCCCGGGCUUAACCUGGGAACU
rnacentral:rRNA from 1 species